GAAGGUGUAGCUCAAGCGGUAGAGUGCAUUCUUAGCAUGCACGGGAGGUCCUGGGUUCAAUCCCCGGCACCUCCU
rnacentral:tRNA from 1 species